rnacentral:piRNA from 1 species
CUCAAGAUGAAAGGUGUGACCCUGUUGUG